UUGUAAAGCCCUUUAAGUGGGGAGGAACGGUGGGAUGCGAACAGUGUCCUGCUCUGACNUUACCCACAGAAUAAGCACCGGCUAACUCCGUGCCAGCAGCCGCGGUAAUACGGGGGGUGCAAGCGUUAAUCGGAAUUACUGGGCGUAAAGCGUGCGUAGGCGGUUUGGUCAGUCAGCCGUGAAAGCCCUGGGCUUAACCUGGGAACGGCGGUUGAGACGGCCAGACUCGAGUGGGCUAGAGGAUCGUGGAAUUCCCGGUGUAGCGGUGAAAUGCGUAGAGAUCGGGAGGAACACCGAUGGCGAAGGCAGCGGUCUGGGGCCACACUGACGCUGAGGCACGAAAGCGUGGGGAGCAAACAGGAUUAGAUACCCUGGUAGUCCACGCGGUAAACGAUGAACACUAGACGUUGGGCGGGUGACCGUCCGGUGUCGAAGCUAACGCGAUAAGUGUUCCGCCUGGGGAGUACGGCCGCAAGGUUG
rnacentral:rRNA from 1 species